rnacentral:rRNA from 1 species
AUUGAACGCUGGCGGCAGGCUUAACACAUGCAAGUCGAGCGGGGGAGGUUGCUUCGGUAACUGACCUAGCGGCGGACGGGUGAGUAAUGCUUAGGAAUCUGCCUAUUAGUGGGGGACAACAUUCCGAAAGGGAUGCUAAUACCGCAUACGCCCUACGGGGGAAAGCAGGGGAUCUUCGGCCCUUGCGGUAAGAGAUGAGCCUAAGUCGGUUUAGCUAGUUGGUGGGGUCAAGGCCUACCAAGGCGACGAUCUGUAGCGGGUCUGAGAGGAUGAUCCGCCACACUGGGACUGAGACACGGCCCAGACUCCUACGGGAGGCAGCAGUGGGGAAUAUUGGACAAUGGGCGGAAGCCUGAUCCAGCCAUGCCGCGUGUGUGAAGAAGGCCUUUUGGUUGUAAAGCACUUUAAGCGAGGAGGAGGCUCUUAAGGUUAAUACCCUUGAUGAGUGGACGUUACUCGCAGAAUAAGCACCGGCUAACUCUGUGCCAGCCGCCGCGGUAACAC